UACGAAGGGAGCUAGCGUUGCUCGGAAUCACUGGGCGUAAAGGGUGCGUAGGCGGGUCUUUUAAGUCAGGGGUGAAAUCCUGGAGCUCAACUCCAGAACUGCCUUUGAUACUGAGGAUCUUGAGUUCGGGAGAGGUGAGUGGAACUGCGAGUGUAGAGGUGAAAUUCGUAGAUAUUCGCAAGAACACCAGUGGCGAAGGCGGCUCACUGGCCCGAUACUGACGCUGAGGCACGAAAGCGUGGGGAGCAAACAGGG
rnacentral:rRNA from 1 species